AUGGAGAUCCCCACCGCCACCAUCCAUCGCCUCCUAUCCUCCAUUCGGGAGGGCACCACGGCCGCGCCCCCUGCCCCUCCCUUCCCCUCCGUCGCCGACGCCGUCGCUGCCUUCGACCCCGAUGCCUCACCGGAGCUCCUGUGCGGGCGCUGCGGCGCGGCGGGUGGCCUCCUCCGCGGCGCGCAGUCCGCCGUCUGCGUCUACUGCGGGUCCCCUAGGCGUGGGGAGGGCGAUGACAUCGCCUUCCGAGGCAGUGCGGCCUACCAGUGGCUCCUCGGUUCGCUCCGGCUUGAUGGAUCUGCUCUCGUAGAAUUUGAUGGCGACUCUACGGAUUCAAAUAAAAGCAAGGAGACACCAAAGAGUGGGUUGGUCUUAUCUGAUCUUCUGGACUUAAAACUUACUUUCCCCCCAGAGAAUAGGGAAAUAUCUGGAAGUUCCACAAGCAACAAACAACCAUCAGUUGCAUGCACACUAAAUUUGCCUGGUGUUAACCUGGACUCAUUUUCCAUUGAAAGGAAAAAGGAGAUAGCUGCCACCGCUGCUGCUCUUCCUCCAACUCAUACUAUAGUGCAGGAAAAGCAUAGCAGAAGUCAUGAAUCCAGUAGCUCAGAGAUGCAUAUUACAUCGAAAGGCUUUGAUUCCUUUGGGACAAAAACAGGUUCUCAAAGCACAAAUCAAAUGGAAGCUACUACGGCAUUUGCAAAUUGGGAUGCUCACUUUCAGUCUACUGGCUCAGAGAGUGUUGUUGGAGACUCUAAGCAACUGGACCUAUUUAAGAGCGCUUCAGUUGCCGAGCCUUCUAAUUUUCCAGUUUCUGGGACUGCCAUCAGACCGGUAUUAGCUGCUGGAAAUCAAACAAACAUAGAAUCAGAAGAUUUAGCUUCAGCAUUAAAUGUAGACAACCUUUCCGUUCAAAAGGCUGUCCCAGCUAAUGCAGAGACUAACGUUAGGAUGGUUGCUGGAAACAAUGUUGCUGAGUUCACCGGGUCCUCCCUUAACAAGAAUUCAGUUGAGAGCAGUGGAUUGUCUGGAAGGAGUGACAUCGGAGUCAGUACUGAUGAAGCUUUUGAUGACUGGCAAGAAUUUACAGAAGGUGGAAAUCAGGGCACACUAUCAGAUGUCGGAGAGCAUACAGAGAGGCCUUUUGUGAGCGACUCCUCACAAAUAAAAGGAACGGACCCCUUGCCCAUAAGAAGCACAGAAUCAUCCAACAAUGUUGCAGAUUCUGAUGAUUGGCAAGCUUUUGCACAAAGUUCUGCUCAAGGAGAUUCAGUGAACCUGGUGGAAGGAUCAUCGAGUGGUCAAGGAGAUGGUUUGGGAAAUCCAGUUGCAGAGCUAGAACAUUCUUUAGAAGCUCAUGCUGUUGAUUUAUGGCCUGUUGGUAAUGUCAAAGAACAUAAUUCUACAGAAAUUGUUGAGCAAACUGAUGAUUCUUUUGAUGACUGGCAAGAUUUUACCACCCCUGGUCAAGCACAGGUUGCUUCAUUCAAUGAAGCUGAAAAAUUGACGGAAGUUUCACAUGUGAGUCACAGAGAAAUAGAUGUGGACUCAUGGUUCACAGAAAAUACUAGGGAAUCAAGUAAUACUGGCUUGGUGAAUAGGAAUAAUAUCAUGCUGGAUGAUUGGCAAGGUUUUGCUGGUUCAGAUCAAACACAGCAAAGUUCAUAUAAUGCAGGUGGUGAACUAAUGGAUAUUUCAUUUGAGCAGCUUGAUGGAACUGGCCCUGUGCAAUUACCAGCAAAUGUCAGCAGUAACAAAACUACAAAUAUAGUUUCAACAAAUAUGGAAGACAAUACAUUUGAUAUUUGGCAAGAUGUUGCCGCACCACGUCACCAACAGGAAAACAUAUCUAAUCUUGGGAGAGAAAUGACUGGUGCCUCGUCUGUGCCUGCUAAAGAAAUUGACUCCAUGGAUUUGUGGCUAACCAGCAAUAUCAAGGAAUCUAACAGCUGCAGCAAAGAUGUUAGUGGAAUUCAUGACUCACCCGAUACAUGGCAAGAUUUUGCUAGUUUUGGUCAAGCACAGGGAAAUAUGAAAAUUCCUGUGGAAGGACAGUUCGUCAAAGAUCCUUCAGGAACUGAACCUGUGGACUUGUGGUCUUCAAGCCAUACAGAGCAGUUUAAGAACCUUGAGCAGAUAAAUGCAAAUAAUGACCCAUUUGAUGAAUGGCAAGAUUUCAAAAACUCUCCUGAGCUGGAAACAAGCUUACAAGGUCGGCCAGGUGCUCCAUUGUCUGGUAAACCCUCAGUAUUGACGGCUGAUAUGACAGGGAUGGAAUUUGGAAGCUUUGCACAGUCUGCUCCAUCCCAACGCCAAAUACAUAAUAAACAAGAUAAUUCUAAUGAAGCAAAUGCAGCUCCACCUGGUGAACACGAAAGGAUGGGCGUAAUGCAGCAGAUGGGUGAUGUUGAUGCAUUGCCUGCAACAAGUCAUGACAGUAACUCCAGACCAAAAUCAGAAGCUGGCAAUGCAAAUGUGGAGAAAUUGAUGUCUCAGAUGCAUGAUCUCUCUUUUAUGUUGAAGGACGAACUUUCUGUCCCUGCUAAGCCAGCAGAUCGCUCUGAGUACCCGAAGAUUGUGUCAGUACUCUGGAGGUGCCAAAGGUGCGGGCAAGACAAGGGAGAUGUAAAGAAGGCGCGAAGAAGGCGUAAAGUAGUUGCGGGAGUGUUUGAAUUCAAGUGUGUGCUUGGGGGCCGUGAGCCUUGUAAGAGUGGGCCGUGGGCCGUAUGA
rnacentral:rRNA from 1 species